ensembl:snoRNA
UCGUCCACCCUAAUCCCUGCUGGUCACAACUGUACCUGCCAGGUUUCGCUGGUGGACCAAAGUAUAUUAGAAAUCCUCUUUGGGAGUGUGGGGCCUCUGCUGUGGGCUCCAGCCAGCUGGGGGUCUCUAAACACAG